GGUUUAAUUCGAUGAUACGCGAGGACCUUACCUGGGCUAGAAUGUGAAGGAAUGAUAUAGAGAUGUAUCAGUCAGCAAUGACCUGAACAAGGUGCUGCAUGGCUGUCGUCAGCUCGCGCCGUGAGGUGUUGGGUUAAGUCCCGCAACGAGCGCAACCCUGUUAUCAGUUGCCAUCGGGUAGAGCCGGGGACUCUGAUAAGACUGCCUGCGCAAGCAGAGAGGAAGGAGGGACGACGUCAAGUCAUCAUGGCCCUUACGCCCAGGGCGACACACGUGCUACAAUGGCGCAUACAGCGGGUAGCUACCUGGCAACAGGAUGCCAACCUCUAAAAGUGCGUCUCAGUUCGGAUUGGGGUCUGCAACCCGACCCCAUGAAGCUGGAAUCGCUAGUAAUCGCGCAUCAGCCAUGGCGCGGUGAAUACGUUCCCGGACCUU
rnacentral:rRNA from 1 species